CGUAGGGUGCGAGCGUUAAUCGGAAUUACUGGGCGUAAAGCGUGCGCAGGCGGUUUUGUAAGACAGAUGUGAAAUCCCCGGGCUCAACCUGGGACCUGCAUUUGUGACUGCAAGGCUAGAGUACGGUAGAGGGGGAUGGAAUUCCGCGUGUAGCAGUGAAAUGCGUAGAUAUGCGGAGGAACACCGAUGGCGAAGGCAAUCCCCUGGACCUGUACUGACGCUCAUGCACGAAAGCGUGGGGAGCAAACAGGAUUAGAUACCCUGGUAGUCCUGCCCUAAACGAUGAAUGCUUGGUGUGGCGGGUAUCGAUCCCUGCCGUGCCGAAGCUAACGCAUUAAGCAUUCCGCCUGGGGGAGUACGGUCGCAAGGCUG
rnacentral:rRNA from 1 species